rnacentral:tRNA from 1 species
GCUGGGGUAUCCAAGCUUGGUAUGGAGCUGGAUUGCUAAAGGAAGCUAUUAGCAGUCCUGCAAACAUCCAGUGUCGUUAGACUCGAGGGUUCAAAUCCCUCCCCCAGCG